GCUAGAAGGACAUUCAGAAACCUGGAUAUACUUACAAAGGCAAAACUUUCCUCUCUGCAGAAGGCAGCACCAAAAUCAUUGCUGAGAAAGAGGCUCUGCCAUCACCGCUCGUCCCCCGGUCCCAGGGAGUUGAUGGUGAGCACAGCUAGAUCCUCACAAGUGCCCGCUCUCUCACCCAGCUCUGCACCUCACCGCUGGCAUGGAAUAGCCCCUUGGUUCACUCACUUUUGCCUCUGUUGCAGACAAUAUUAUGCCAAAGAAGCCUGUGCAGGCAGAACUAUCUGGCAUAUUUCACAUCUCUGGCAGAAGUAACAGUUGUGGGGAAGCGUGUCCAGGAUUGACGGAGCUGCUCCACGCUGGGUCCCAUGAGACAGGCAGGACAGCCCUGUCCUUCCUGCCUGGGGACACAGCACCAUCCUCUUCCUCCUCUGCGCGGGUGGCCCCACCGGACUCUGAAGCGAAGCUGUGAAGGACUGCUGCAACGUGCAUGAGUGGAAAGCAAAGGAGAGACCAAAGCCCACCAAGCCUCUGGCGUCCGAUCCCCCAGCAUCCUGACUUCAUCUGACUUGGGUAGGUCAACCACUUGGA
rnacentral:lncRNA from 1 species